rnacentral:lncRNA from 1 species
UACUGCAAUAUUACUGUAGGUCAGAAGAAGAAGGCUAUGAAAUGUGGGCACCUACACACAUCACGGCUACUAAGGAGAAAGGAAAGAAACAUCACAGAGGCUAUACAAGACAUAAUUUGGCCUUUCACUGCAUUUCUUGCUUCCUUUUUGUGUUGAGAGCCAAGACUCGUUUCUGGUACCUAUCAUGUUCUGCUCCUUCUCUCAUCAAUUAUUUGAAGAAGUUACUGCCAUCCAAGGUUAUGUUUCUAAUGAUUUUUUUAGUUGUGUAAUUUAAAAAGUGUAAAAUCACUCAAUUUCAUCUUAUUCUGGAGAUCACUAACUGUAAUUAUACAUGGAAAUGAUGAAAUGGAGGAAAACCAGAUAUACUCUCAUCCACUUUCAAGGUCUAGCAUAAGAAAUUCAGGUCAGAUAUGCUUAUUUCAAACAAUUUAAGUACGCCAGUGUUUCAGGACAAUAGGACUGGCAUCCAGUUACAGUGCAAAUGUUUGUUUACAAAGAUUUCAUUUUCCUUGCAUAUAUUGUGGAACUAUAUUUAAAAGAAAUGUUUCUCUUCUGACUCUUUGGCCAAUCAAGAGUUGCAAGUAAAUGUAAACACAACUAAAAAAAGAAUCCUCAACACAAAAGACACCCUUUCCCAAAAGCUUCAAACCCCCCAAACCAACUGAAAAAACAUGCUGCAAAAGUUUUUUGUUAGCCAAAGAGUUCAUGGAUAUUGCUCUUGACUCUUUUAAGGGCUUUUGUAAGUAUUCUUUGAUUCUUUGAAGGAAAAAAAAAAAAAAAAACCUACUGAGAACAGAUCCUUUCACAUGAGAGGAAUAACUGAAAUGGCUCUGACACCAAGUUCCUUUUCAGAUAUUUCCUCAGUGCCAAAAACAAAGAUGAAAUGGUUGGAGCACUGAGGGAGGAUGGGACGAGAAUCCUGUGAAAGAAACUGCAACUGAUAAAGGACAGAUGAGGGAAAUGUGAGCAAAGACACGCACCCAAAAAAUGGACAACCUGCAUCUGUAGGACUUACAAGACUUAGCUAAACUCAUCUAUGUUCACCGUGCAUCAGCCAAAGAAUUGAAAAAGUUAGGGCAGAGGGAAGGGUCAACAUUACCAACUUCAACAACAGGAAGGGUAUUGCACCCAGACACUCUCGUAAAUUAAAUUUCUGUUCCUAAGAGUCACUGCUUCAGGGAGUUUUGGCUGUAGAGUCUUUAUCAAGGACAGGGAACUACAGCAAACGUGUAUCAGUUUUAAUAAAAGUAUGAUGUUGUAUCUCA